rnacentral:tRNA from 1 species
GGGGCUGUAGUGUAGCUUGGGCGCAUCAAUUCAUUGGUGCGGAGCACCUAUCAUUGGGGGUUCGGGGCCUCCAGACCGGAGUUCAAAUCUCCGCAGCCCCA